AUGCUUCUGAUUCUGCUGUCAGUGGCCCUGCUGGCCUUCAGCUCAGCUCAGGAUUUAAAUGAAGAUGUCAGCCAGGAAGAUGUUCCCCUCGUAAUAUCAGAUGGAGGAGACUCUGAGCAGUUCCUAGAUGAGGAGCGUCAGGGACCACCUUUGGGAGGACAGCAAUCUCAACCCUCUGCUGGUGAUGGGAACCAGGAUGAUGGCCCUCAGCAGGGACCACCCCAACAAGGAGGCCAGCAGCAACAAGGUCCACCACCUCCUCAGGGAAAGCCACAAGGACCACCCCAACAAGGAGGCCAGCAGCAACAAGGUCCACCACCUCCUCAGGGAAAGCCACAAGGACCACCCCAACAGGGAGGCCAUCCCCCUCCUCCUCAAGGAAGGCCACAAGGACCACCCCAACAGGGAGGCCAUCCCCGUCCUCCUCGAGGAAGGCCACAAGGACCACCCCAACAGGGAGGCCAUCAGCAAGGUCCUCCCCCACCUCCUCCUGGAAAGCCCCAGGGACCACCUCCCCAAGGGGGCCGCCCACAAGGACCUCCACAGGGGCAGUCUCCUCAGUA
rnacentral:misc_RNA from 1 species